rnacentral:rRNA from 1 species
UCGAGCGGGGAAGAGUAGCUUGCUACUUUACCUAGCGGCGGACGGGUGAGUAAUGCUUAGGAAUCUGCCUAUUAGUGGGGGACAACAUUCCGAAAGGGAUGCUAAUACCGCAUACGUCCUACGGGAGAAAGCAGGGGACCUUCGGGCCUUGCGCUAAUAGAUGAGCCUAAGUCGGAUUAGCUAGUUGGUGGGGUAAAGGCCUACCAAGGCGACGAUCUGUAGCGGGUCUGAGAGGAUGAUCCGCCACACUGGGACUGAGACACGGCCCAGACUCCUACGGGAGGCAGCAGUGGGGAAUAUUGGACAAUGGGGGGAACCCUGAUCCAGCCAUGCCGCGUGUGUGAAGAAGGCCUUAUGGUUGUAAAGCACUUUAAGCGAGGAGGAGGCUACCUAGAUUAAUACUCUAGGAUAGUGGACGUUACUCGCAGAAUAAGCACCGGCUAACUCUGUGCCAGCAGCCGCGGUAAUACAGAGGGUGCGAGCGUUAAUCGGAUUUACUGGGCGUAAAGCGUGCGUAGGUGGCUAAUUAAGUCAAAUGUGAAAUCCCCGAGCUUAACUUGGGAAUUGCAUUCGAUACUGGUUAGCUAGAGUAUGGGAGAGGAUGGUAGAAUUCCAGGUGUAGCGGUGAAAUGCGUAGAGAUCUGGAGGAAUACCGAUGGCGAAGGCAGCCAUCUGGCCUAAUACUGACACUGAGGUACGAAAGCAUGGGGAGCAAACAGGAUUAGAUACCCUGGUAGUCCAUGCCGUAAACGAUGUCUACUAGCCGUUGGGGUCUUUGAGACUUUAGUGGCGCAGCUAACGCGAUAAGUAGACCGCCUGGGGAGUACGGUCGCAAGACUAAAACUCAAAUGAAUUGACGGGGGCCCGCACAAGCGGUGGAGCAUGUGGUUUAAUUCGAUGCAACGCGAAGAACCUUACCUGGCCUUGACAUAGUAGAAACUUUCCAGAGAUGGAUUGGUGCCUUCGGGAAUCUACAUACAGGUGCUGCAUGGCUGUCGUCAGCUCGUGUCGUGAGAUGUUGGGUUAAGUCCCGCAACGAGCGCAACCCUUUUCCUUAUUUGCCAGCGAGUAAUGUCGGGAACUUUAAGGAUACUGCCAGUGACAAACUGGAGGAAGGCGGGGACGACGUCAAGUCAUCAUGGCCCUUACGGCCAGGGCUACACACGUGCUACAAUGGUCGG